rnacentral:rRNA from 1 species
GAUGAACGCUGGCGGCGUGCCUAAUACAUGCAAGUCGAGCGAACAGACGAGGAGCUUGCUCCUCUGACGUUAGCGGCGGACGGGUGAGUAACACGUGGAUAACCUACCUAUAAGACUGGGAUAACUUCGGGAAACCGGAGCUAAUACCGGAUAAUAUAUUGAGCCGCAUGGUUCAAUAGUGAAAGACGGUUUUGCUGUCACUUAUAGAUGGAUCCGCGCCGCAUUAGCUAGUUGGUAAGGUAACGGCUUACCAAGGCAACGAUGCGUAGCCGACCGGAGAGGGUGUCCGGCCACACGGGAACGGAGACACGGUCCAGACUCCUACGGGAGGAAGCAGUAGGGAAUCUUCCGCAAUGGGCGAAAGCCUGACGGAGCAACGCCGCGUGAGUGAUGAAGGUCUUCGGAUCGUAAAACUCGGUUAUUAGGGAAGAACAAAUGUGUAAGUAACUAUGCACGUCUUGACGGUACCUAAUCAGAAAGCCACGGCUAACUACGUG